rnacentral:lncRNA from 1 species
UCAUGGUCUAUACACAUAGGAGCAGGGCUUGCAAUCUCCUCAUAACUGUUAUACAGAACUUGCUUUUUAUACUUCUUCGCUACUGCUUUGGCUAACGGACUUCAAAAUGUUGAACUUGUAGAGUGGGCAGGUGGCAUUGAUCUGUAACCAUUUGUCUAUGCAGGUGCAGUGGAAGUGGUGACAGCAAGAAAGUUCACGCAGUUCAGUUCCAUCUUCAUGGGUAAAAAGGCAGAUGCAACAUUCCUAAGAUUAACACAACUCACGUAAUAAGUAUGUAAACUAAGAGAUUUGGACCCUUCAAAUUUUUAGAUUUUUGUGAAGCAAGCUAGCGAGACGGGCUAAUAAGGAUCGUAGUAUUGAAAUUGAGUGAUCUAAAUUUUUCGUUCCACGAACUCUAGACACAGAGAUCUAGAGUAGAUCCCAAUUCGUGGUUUUGAAACUUCAACAAAAGCAGGCUACAGCGAUGGCAGAACAAACCAAUAUUGUCAAUAUCAUCACUGUCUGAUUGAGAUGUGCUGCCUUUCUAUUUCUCUGAAUUUCGUCAUCAAGCUUCAAUCUCUACCAAAAUUAGAAAACAAGGGAUCAAACUUUCUUCAUUUUGUUAAAAAUUAUGCAAUCCUUUUACAAUACUCCAGAUUAUCCAACGCAUAAAUCAUCACCUUAUCAUACAAUGCACGUUUUUCACCAUCUUAAAAAGCGUGGGUGAUUAAAAAGGUUCAUGCAAUGCAAAUUUUACCUGUUGAGGUUGUUGGGAAUUUGGCAGGAUUCCAAUUGAAGCUGGAGAUUGGACGUGAAGUUGGAAAAUUUGGUAGGAGAUGUGAUAUUUUUGUUUCCUGGUGAUUUCAGUAUAGUUGGAGAGAAGUGAAUAUAGCUCCACAUGCUUCUACAACCCCUUUUUUGUGGCUUAGCACUCUUUUAGUGCGUUAAACAAGUUUAUGGUCAGAUUAAUUUUUAAGAAAAUUUCACUUUAUUAAAAAUCUCAAAUAUCGCUAUUGUGACUUAACUGGAUUUAUCUAUCUUUUUAUCAACAACUGUCGUUCAUGAGAUUUGAAUUCAAGAUCCCUUAAAAAGCAAGUGAAGAUUGAAAGAUGCAAGACCAAAUGGUCAUUUGCUAUUACAUACAUCUACUACUCUUCAUGGACCUCUUCUUAAGACUUGAUUUACUCAGACCUAAUUAUGUUAAAAUGGUUUGUUCGAGAUCGUAUUAAAUACAUGUAAGUAUUGUAACCAAUCCCAAUUCUUAUAUGCCAACUUUAUACUGAGCUACGAGACCAAUUACAUUUUUAAUUUUUUCUAAACUUUAUUUAAGAAUUAAUUAUGUGCUAAUCACCAUACAGACAUUUCUUAAUGCCAAAUUGCUAAAUUUACUUGUGAUCUUUAAGUUUAUAUUUUUAUUUACAGUCUAAAUUAUAUUUGCUGUAACAUUUAGAUAUUGGCUACAAUGAAAAGCCUAUUUUGCUGUAAUAAUAUUUGGUGUUUACCACUAACAACUAUCUUAAGAUAAAAUUAAACUAUGAGAUUUUGGGAUUAAUCGUUCAUUCUAACUAAAUUAGGAAACACAAUUAUAUCAAACAAUAUUCUGAUACAAGGAACAUUAAAGGAAUCCUAACUAAAUUAGGAAACACAAUUAUAUUCCUAAUCACAAACAUUCUCCUAAUUAAUAGGGUUGACUCACGCUAACAUUCCCCCUCAAGUUGGUUCGUAGAUAUCUCCUAAGCCCAACUUGUAGAGUGAGUCCCGAAAUCUUCCAGCAGGUAUCGCAUGUGUUAGAAUAUCCGCCAGCUGUUCUUCUGUUUGCAUAAACGGAAUGUCAACCAGCCGAACAUCAAGCUUCUCCUUUAUUUAGCUAUCUCUCGAGCUGAUUGAUUAUCACAUUACAACAACAUAGACCCUUUGGGCUUAAAACCUAUCUUAGUAAGAAGUAUUUGAAGCCAGAAGUUUACAAAUACCAUGUGCCAUUCCUCUGUAUUCAGCUUCAGCUGACGAUCUUGCCACCACAUUCUGUUUCUUACUUCUCCAAGUCACCAGGUUACCAGCCACGAACGUAAAAUAGCCUGAUUUAGACCUCCUAUCAGUGAUGUUCUCAGCCCAAUCUGCAUUAGUAUAUCCUUUCACCUCCAAGUGUCCAUGCUUUUUGUACAUUAGACCCUUUCCCGGAGCUCAUUUUAGAUAACUCAGGAUUCGCAUUACUGCUGUCAUGUGAUCCUCACUCGGUGCAUGCAUAAACUGACUCAUCACACUUACUGCAUAAGCAAUGUCUGGUCUAGUGAGUGACAAGUAAAUCAAUCUUCGCACUAACCUUUGAUACCUUUCCUUAUUUGUUGGAACUUGAUCUUGAGAUUGCAAGGUGAUGAUUCUGCACAAUUGGAGUAUCUGUCGGUUUACAUGCUAACAUACCAGUUUCGGACAAUAAGUCCAACACAUACUUACGUUGUGACACGUAUAUCCCUUCUCGAGAUCUAGCAACCUCAAUACCUAGGAAGUACUUAAGUCCCCCUAAAUCUUUCAUCUCAAACUCAGAAGCCAAGUACCUCUAUAUCCUUUCAAUUUCCUUUGUAUCAUCACCUGUGACAAUCAUAUCAUCGACAUAUAUAAUGAGUAAAGUAACUUUACCAUCCUUGUGUUUGAUGAACAAAGUAUGAUCUGAGUUCCCUUGUCGGUAUCUGCACUUUUUCAUAGCCUGAGUGAAUCUCCCAAACCAUGCUCUAGGCGACUGCUUGAGACCAUACAAUGCCUUCCGGAGUCUACACACUUUUCCACUGGAGUUUGUAAUGCCAUAUCCUAGUGGAAAAUCCUUAUAGACCUCUUCCUCUAAAUCCCCAUGCAAAAAUGCAUUCUUUAUGUCAAAUUGUCUUAGAGGCCAAUCAAAAUUAGCAGUAAGAGACAACAACACUCUAAUGGUAUUCAUUUUUGCAACCGGAGCAAAAGUUUCCUGAUAGUCAACACCGAAGGUUUGUGUGUACCCUUUGGCCACUAGUCUCACAUUGUACCUAUAGAUGGUUUCGUCAGCUUUAUGUUUGAUAGUACACACCCAUUUGCAUCCAACUGAUUUUUUUCCUUUGGGAAGUGUAACCACACUUCAUGUAUUAUUCUUUUGUAACGCCUCCAUCUCAAUUUGCAUUGCCUCUGUCCAUUUCGGAUCUUUCAAGGCUUCUUCCACUCUAGUAGGUAUUUUGAUAGUAUUCAUCCGUUGAACAAGUGCACAAUAUUUUGGCGAGAGUCGAUGAGUGGAGACAUAAUUUGCAAUAGAGUACCGUACCUUCCAUUCUGAAGAGUACCUGUCCGGCGGCUUUCCUCGAUUCUGUCUGAGAGGUAACAUAUAAGGUGGUUUAAUAAUUUCUGAGUGAGUACUUACCUCGAGGUUAUCCGGUGGAUCAUGGGUGGGUACUGGAGGAGUGUGAGAGCGGUUGUCUCUUGGGAUGACACUCGGGCAUGCAGCAGCAAGCCCAUUUAGGCAGAUCGCAACGACAUUUGGGCAAAUGGUAGUGACAAGGGGCCCAUAUGGGCCCGUGGAACCAGCAGGAGAAAGCUCUGCAGAAAAAGGCCGCCUACGUGGGCUUGUAGCAUCAGACGGCCCAUCUGCCGCUGUCUUAUUAUCAUCUGGCCUACCAACAACCAUCUCAGUCACACCAUCAUUAACAGGCCCACAUGGCUCAACAUGUACAUGCCCAUCUAGGCAGUCAUUAUGUACUCCUUUGUUUUGGAUUUUAGCACGCCCAUGCCCAUGAUUUGGGCCAGCAAAUACAUCUUCAACAUGCCCAUUGUUUAGGCUGACAGGUUCAUCUUCAACACACUCAUUAUUUGGGCCGACAGGUACAUCAAACCAGCCAUAGUCUUCACUUAAGGUUGCCUCCUCCUGAGGAGUAAGGCUGGGAAGAAAAAAUAAUUCAUCUUUAGAGAAGGUAACAUCCAUGGUGACAAGACAUGUCGGGUAGGUGGAUGAUAGCAUCGGUAACCUUUUUGCUGGGGACUAAAGCCAAUGAAAACACACCGAAUGACACACGGAUCAAGUUUGCUUCGUUGGUUUUUGUGAAGAUGAACGUAGGCCACACAACCAAAAACUUGUGGUUCUAGAUGAAGAGUAGAGGAUAAGGAAACAUGGUCACCAAGUACGGCCAACGAAGUGCGAAAAAAAAAGAACACGCGAUGACAUUCGAUUCAUGAGAUAUACGGCGUAGGUCACCGCAUCAACCCAAUAAGUUUUGGGUGUGAAAGCACCAAUGAGAAGAGCCCGAGUAAUCUCAAGUAUGUGUUGAUUUUUCCGUUCAGCUACUCCAUUUUGCUGUGGGGUCUGAGAACAAGUAGUUUUAUGGAGAAGUCCAUUUUCUUGGAAGAACUGAGAAAGGUCCUGGUUAAUGUAUUCACCACCAUUAUCGGACCGAAUGACUUUAAUAUGAAGCGAGUAUUGUGCGUGGACCAUAUGAUAAAACUGUUUGACAAUGUCACCCACAUCAUUCUUAUGUUUCAUGAGAUAUAACCAAGUCAUUCUGGUGCAGUCAUCAACAAACAUCAUAAACCAACGUACACCAUGCUGAGUAGUAACUAGAGACGACCCCCAUACAUCAGAGUGAACCAACUUAAAAGGAACUGUUCUUUUGUUAAAACUUGGAGGAUAUGAAGCUCGAUGACUUUUAGCUAAAGUGCAUACAUUACACUUUAGAGAAGAAUCUAAAAUAUUAUUGAAUAAUGACAGGAGCAAUUUCCGCAAUGCAUGACCUAGGCGACGAUGCCACAACUGAACAGUCUUCACUUUUCCAUUAUCAUGACUUUGAACAUGGUGAACUCGGCUUUAGGCAACAUCGUCGACAUAGUACAACCCCCUCCUUUUAGUACCACGUCCAAUGAUCGCCUGAGUCUGGAUAUCCUGAAGUAAACAGAAAGACGGAAACAUUAGCACAACCAAGGAACAAAAUGCCGAUAAUAUCGGCGAUAUAUCGCCGAUAUUAUCGGUUUUUCACCGGAUCGAUAUUUUAAUAGGUAUCCAAAGGAUUUUCGUCAAAAUAUCGCGAUAUUAUAUAAAAUAUCGAUAAUAUCUUAGGAGUCGGUGAGCGCGCCGCAGCUAACGCCGAAAAGCAGCGAAACGAUGACGCUCAGGAUGUCCUUGGUGCGAUCGCGCAGGCUUCUGAGCGGGGCGGAGCCGACUGAUUUCGAUGACGACGGUGACAAAGCCGGAGGGGGAAGAGGAGGAGGGGAGACGGCGGAGGGAGAAGGAGUAGGAGGAAACGAAGAGGGUUUUGCAGGGCCUUGAUGCGGUGGCGGAGAUGGCGAAGAGGGAGAAGGUGAGGGGAGCGAUGAGGUGGUGUCGCCGUUGAUGUGGUGUGGAAGUGAGGGUGUGGGUUGGUUCACGGGGAGAAGGAGAGAGUGCAGAUAGAGAGAGAGCACAGGUAGAGAUGAGAGAGUGAGGGAAAAGAGAGAACUGAGAGAAAAGAGAGAUCGCCUUCGUUGAUGUGGUGUGGAAGUGAGGGUGUGGGUUGGUUCACGGGGAGAAGGAGAUAGUGCAGAGAGUGCAGAGAGAGAGAGCACGGGUAGAGAUGAGAGAGUGAGGGGAAAGAGAGAACUAAGAGAAAAGAGAGACCGGGGACACAAAAGCAAGGUGGGCCCCCUGGGCACACCUAUUAAGGUCCAAAAAUAAUUUUAAAAGUAAGAUAAACUCAAACUUAGUGAAAAUACAAUUUAAAUUGGGGGUGGGUGUAACAAUCUACCCCUCUUAAAAGAAUUUCGUCUCCGAAAUUUAAAAUCACUUACUAAACUGAAAUACUCGAAAAUAGGAAGAAGAAUAUAUAUAUAAAGAGAAAUCAAGUCCAAAUAAUUACAUCAUAUUAAAAUUUGAUUAAUUUUUUUUCAGUUACAUAUAUUAUAUAUGAUAAAUUUCUAUUUUAAAUCAAGUCCAAAUAAUCACAUCAUAUUAAAAUUUGAUUAAUUUCUUUUCAAGUAUCUACUUUUGAACUACUCACCACGUUCACUCUAUGUGGUACUAAGUCACUAAUGUAUCUUACCAUGCAAAGUAUAAAAUGUAAAAUAUUGUACUAAUUCAUUAUAUAUAAAUGAUUAUGGUGUGUUUAGACUUCUUUCAUUAAUUACUACAUAUUUUCUACACUCACAUUGUUUGUCAGCUCGCUAUAUAAUCAACUUGAUAAUGUUAAAUCCAUCAUGCAAUGCAUUUCUUUCUAAUUUUUUGUGAUAAACUAAUGGAUAAUUGACUAAAUAAACAUCCUGCAAAGUUUUAAUAAAAAUUUCCAAGUUUUUCUUACAAUUUCCGUGGUUUCCAUGUAAUUUUUAUCGAUAUCGAUAUUAUCCCGAUAUUUCCAUCGAUAUUUCCGUGUUUUCGAACUACCGAUAUUUCCGAUAUUACCGAUAUUUAAUACCUUGAGCACAACACAGUCCAAUUGUUCGGUUACUUGCCCCACAGAUAAUAAGUAGCUAGAAAGUAUGGGAACAAGUAAGCAGUUAUGUAACGAGAGGGUAGAAGUGAGUGAUACGGAACCCGCCCCUGUAAUUGGGUGGGGCAACACCUCCGUUGGCAGUAAAAAUAUUAUCUCGUGGUGGUGGUGUCAUAGAGUCAAAAAGACUACGAUCGUAAGUCAUAUGAUCAGUGGCUCCUGAAUCAAUAAUUCAACCAGUAUCAUGAUCAAUCGAUGAAAUUGAAGCUAUGCUUGUGUUACCGAGGUUGUCGGAUUUCUCGCUUGAAGCAAUUAAAUUUAAGAGAGAAAACUGUUGUUCCAGAUUUUCUGGAGAUGUCUUCACUGGGUGUCCCCGCUGGUGGGCCAGGCAAGCCGGUUCCAUCCCUGCUGCUGACGCCAGCAUCUGCUGGUUGGGUGGGAUUGUUUUGGGCUUCAAAACUAAUCAGUCCACUCUCUGAUUUUACUCCAUUAGGCGCAACAGACCUCUUGUCAAACUUGAUGGGGACCAUUGCUUGGCUAUUUGCCGUAGUUGCAGCACGUUGUGGUUUGGGAUUUUCAAAGGAAGGUCUAGUUUCUUGUUUCGAGACUUGGGUGUGGGUAUUUAACAGAAGUCUCUUGCUUCGAGACUUUUGGUACAAUUCCAAGCGGCUGAUAAGCAACCAACCGAGAAGAAAUCAAGUCGUCAGUGAGCAAGAUUAGGAUUUAGAGAAAGAGACCGGUCGAAACCUGCUCUGAUGUCAGGAUAAAAUUAAACUAUGAGAUUUUGGGAUUAAUCGUUCAUUCUAUUCUUCUCCAUCAAGGAGGCAAUAUAUAUCAAACAUAUAUUCUGAUACAAGGAACAUUAAAGGAAUCCUAACUAAAUUAAGAAACACAAUUAUAUUCCUAAUCACAAACAUUCUCCUAAUUAAUAGGGUUGACUCACGCCAACAUCUUAUACGUACCGUCCGAUAACAGUGGUAAGAAGAACAUGUAAAGUUUGAGUUUGAUUAGUCAUGAAACUGCUAGCUUAAGACCAUCCGAUAACAAUGGUAAGAACAUAAACCAGCAGCAGUGAUAUGGGGUACAGAAUGUAUGCUAGAAUGCUUGUCCAAAAUGGGAACUUUCUGCUGAAGCUUGCAGAAAGACCAACCGCUAUCGAAAUAAUUAAAACAACUAAAACUUCAGCAGCGACAUCCCAUGAUAAAUUGCGUAUGUAAACAAGAGCCAAAAAUAUGAUCAACCCCACAAUAUUGUUCAUGAAUGCCGCGUUGUAAAUCUGCAGAGAACAGUUCAAAUGUCAGAUGAUAUUGAUCUUAUGGAGUUGCAGUGCUGUGUUUAUGGAAAGUAUUAGGGACGGACUUUUGGAGUAUAAAUCAGGGAGAAAUAAGUGUAUGACAUCAUUAGACGCUUAAGUGUGUGAAGUAGUUAAAACAAUAUAUUUGAGUUUAUGAAACAGACCUCAGAAAGUGUUAAAGAGAUGGCAUUCUCCGUCUUGUCUUUGGCAGACAAUACAGACAUUAGUGCCAGUCUGUAAUUUGUAGCCAAGGGUAUCACAACAUACGAGGCCAUGAAAGAAGGGAUGCUUGCAGCGGUGGAAAACUCUUGGAGACUUACCAUGAGGGGCAUUGAAAGAAAAACUGUUAUGGCAGUUCCUAGAAUAAUUAGAAAAGCAGCCUUCAGGAGAUUCAUCCAUGAUGUAUCAGCACCCCUAGUCUUCUUUUUCUUAACGAUCAGCGGUAUCUGCUGAUCUUCCAUAGAUGUCUCAUUCUGCAAGUGCAGUUUAAUGACCCGGAUGAAACUCUUGUUUUUCUAAGCAUUCAAAUAUAGUCCUAUCAGGCAAAUGCGGGCGUAAGAGCAGGUGUGCUCAUCCCUUAUGCAGGUAAUUUCAAGUCCCUCUUCCCGAUGUUUACAUUAGUUAAAGUAAAAUAUUGCUUGUGUAAAAAAAAAAAUACUUACAGUCCUACCGGGGCUGAAUUUAUACCUUGGCAGGGGUCUUAUCUGGAUUAAUCCAUUUAGAGAUUCCAUUCACAAACUCCGUCUCAGUUAUUUGAGCGUCGCCAGAGAGAUCAAAUUGCUUCAUCACUUCUUCUGCAUAAUCAUCAUCAUCCAGACCUAUUUCUUCUAUUUGUAUUCCUAGGAUCAAUGCUUUAAGUUCAUCUGCUGAUAUGUAUGUGUUAUGAUUCUUGUCUACUCUAUGGAACAGCCUGAAAAUAAAUUUAGAAAACGACUAAAUGAUGAGAUCAUGGCAUUUCAGCGAUUCAGGUGGAGUGAACUAAAAACAGAAACCGGGUACUUACUCUUUUAUACUGGAUUCAUUAGCAUUUCCGUCUACUGUCAGAAGACUCGGCAGUAUCUUCCGUAUGUAUUUAAGCAUCAAAUAUUCAAGCCUUCUGCUCUGAAUCCAUGGUUGAAAGAACUGCAUAAUUGUUUUCUAUCAGUUAAGAAGUUCACGGAUGCAACAUUUCUAACUUUUGUACUUUGUUCAUCGUUGCUUAAACAAUCAAAAGUCUUUCUCGGAUUCUUAUUAUUUCAGUAUGUUAAUUAUUUCAUCUUUCAUACACAAUAAGUCAAAUUUUACUAUCAUCUAAGUAUCGCUGAGGCAGAUUUUAUAUUCUUGAAGUUGUGUUACCUGGUAGAUGAUGUAAGUGGCAAGGAUUGCAGAUGCAAUCAGUAGAGAAAUUAAGAUCACAACUCGAACUGCUGUGGUUGAAGUCAAGAUUUUUGCCAGUUGAAGAAAGAGAUAUGGGAUCGAGGAGAGCAUCAUGAUUCUUGCAGUAUCUCGGGUUUCGACAUCAGUUCUUACACCAGAACCUGCACAACCAUGUUUACUUACACAUUAAGUUAUCAUAUUUUAGACCUCUCUCUCUCAGUGAGUGUUGAUUAGUUUGUGGAGAUCAGAGAAGAAGAAGUAAACCAGUUAAACUGAAGGGGUUCUUGUUUUCUGAAUUUGAUGAAGUUUGAGAAUCCGAGAGGUCGGAGCUACCGAAGGCAACAACAGAACCCCAUAUUAGGGUAAGAAUCAUGAUUGUUGAUCCUGCAAGCAUGCUCAUGUUCAUUUUUGCCAUUUCCUCCGCAGUUUCUGUAGUUGCUGUAAUUCCAGUUACUGAGGAACAAAAUGUGAAUUGUCGUCAUGAAUUUACAAGACAUAAUACAUGUCAAAUGUAUUACUUUGAUUUAAAAGUUAAAACCAAAACUUCUGAACUUUUCUCCAAAUAGUCAAGCAAUUACUAUACAAGUCAAAAUCAUUUAAAACUAAGGAAAACUAAUGAAAAUGACUUGAAAACUUUGAAUUUUAAUCAAAAUAACAAAAAUGUGUUGUAAAUGAAUAGUAUCAGGAGUGACUUUUUAGAGUAAAAAUGUCUUUUUCGUUAAAAGUGAAUAGUACCGGGAGUGUUUAGCUAAAACUCUCUUUAAACUAUGCAAGUGGCUUUUUACCACAGUGGUGAAAAUGAGUUAAGCUCUUGCAUGACGGCGUGAGUUUGAAUUCAAUCGAUGGCUAAUCUAAUAUCUAAUCUAACAAAAUAUAUCAUAUGAGAUAAAAAAAUCAUUUAAACUAUGAAUCUCUAAUCUAAUCUAAUCUAAUCUAAUCUAAUACUCAUUCACACUCUUAACAAGCUCGUCAUGUUAAAUAUAUUGAGGUGAGCAACUGAGCCACAAAAUUAAACACGUGAGUUGUUGAGAUCAACGAUUCAACACAUGAGUAUAGUCUAUUCUGAUACCAUAUGUAUAUAUAUAGAGGUGAGCAACUGAGCCACAAAAUAGAGACCCAAGAUAAUUAAACUUUUAUGUAAAACUUUAAUUCCUCGAAGUUAGAUUCCUCCCAAUAUACAAGAUUAUGGUCUGUUAAAUUGUAAUCUUGUCUUGGUCCAAGACAAUUGAUCCGACCCAUACACAAAGAAAGAUCCAUGCACAUGCUAAAGAGUUCUAGCAAAGUUCAAGUUGGUGGAAUGCAUGCAUAAAUAUCUAAGGCUUUUUGUAGAAAGCUCUAGAAUCUUGUAAAAAUGUGUGGUUGUUAAGCAUUAGCUAGAAAGUUCUAGCAAUGCCAAAAAGUUGGCAAACCUUGCCUAUAAAUAGGUGAGGUGCUAAGCAAUGUGAUGUAAUAACUAAGAGAGCAAGUAGUGAGAAGUGAGAGUGCCAAGUGAAAAGUGAGAAGAAGCAACAAAGCUUCUAAGAGUGUUUGAGUGUUUCCUCUUUACUAAGUUUGUGAGUGAAUAAAAAUCUUGUGUAACACUUUGAGUAUUCUUUCUUUCUCAUGCCUAUCAAUUUCACUGCAUUACAUUCUUCUUUGUGAGAUAAACAUUUCCAAAGUAGUGAAGUCUUUUUAAGCCCCAACAAAGUGGUACCAGAGUUAUGGCUAGCAAUGCUAUGUCAGCCUUCCAAGUUCCAGUACUCGACAAGAACAACUUCAAUAAUUGGAGUAUCGAAAUAAAGGCCCUUUUGGGAUCACAUGAUGUCUAGGAAGUCGUGGAGAAAGGCUACACAGAGCUAGAAGAUGAAGCUACUCUAACCCAAGCCCAGAAGGAGAGUUUGACAGAUUAAAGAAAGAGAGACAAGAAGGUUCUCUACCUUAUCUACCAAGCAUUAGAUGACAAUGGCUUUGAGAAGGUCUCGAGUGCAACCUUCGCCAAGCAAGCAUGAGAGAAGCUUCAAACCUCUUGCAAAGGAGCCGAACAAGUGAAAAAGGUUCGUCUUUAAGUAUUAAGAGGUGAGUUCGAAUCUCUACAAAUGAAAGGGUCUAAAUCAAUCUCCAAUUAUUUCUCAAGAGUCUUAGAUGUUUCCAAUCAAUUAAAAAGAAACGGAGAAAAUUUAGAAGAUGUUAGAAUUACGGAGAAGAUACUACGCUCGUUGGACCCCAAAUUUGAGCACAUUGUCGUGACAAUUGAAGAAACCAAAAACUUAGAAGAAAUUAAUAUAGAGCAAUUGAUGGGUUCGCUACAAGCAUAUGAAGAGAAACAUAAGAAGAGGCAAGGGAAUGAUGAGCUGCUCAUCAAGACGCAUGUUCAGCCAAAGAAGAAAGAAGAAAGCUUCGACAACAAAAGAAGCCAAUACGAAAAAAGUCGUGGUCGAGGUUGCAGACGUGGGCGUGGACGUGGACGUGGUUGGAACUUCAACAACCAUAGUAACUAUAAAAGAGGAGAAAUCUCAACAAAAGGUCGUGGAAGAGGACGCUCAAACUUGAGGUAUGAAAAAUCUCAAGUUCAAUGCUAUAAUUGUCAAAAGUUCGGGUAUUAUGCUUGGGAAUGUAGAGCUCCAAACAGCAGACCUGAUGAAAAGGUCAACUAUGUGAAAGAAGAGAAAGAAGAGAAUGACAUUGUGCAACUAAUAUGCAAGAACAAUAAUCGAGACCAAGACUAUACAUGGUACCUUGACACAGGUGCCAGCAACCACAUGUGUAGAAGAAGAGGCAUGUUCGUAGAGCUCAAUGAAUCAGUUAGUGGCAACGUUUCUUUUGGAGACGAAUCCAAAAUACCCGUCAAAGGAAAAGGUAACAUCCUAAUUCCCCUGAAAAAUGGCGGUCACCAAUUAAUUUCAAAUGUCUACUACGUGCCCAAUAUGAAAAGCAACAAAUUGAGUUUAGGUUAACUCUUAGAAAAAGGUUAUGAUAUUUACAUGAAAAAUUAUAGCCUUUUUCUUAGAGAUGAUAAAGGAAGAUUAAUUGCCAAGGUGAAAAUGUCAAAGAAUACGAUGUUUCCUAUGAAAAUUCAAAACGAUGUUGCAAAGUGUCUCAAGACAUGUUACAAAGACAUAUCAUGGCUUUGGCAUCUUCAUUUUGGGCAUCUUAACUUUGGGGGAUUGAAGUUAUUAUCUAAGAAUGAGAUGGUGAGAAGCUUACCAUGCAUCAGUCACCCUGAUCAAGUUUGUGAAUGGUGUUUACUUGGGAAACAGUUCAUGAUUCUAAAUGAGUCGAUCACAAGAGCCCAGAAGCCACUUGAGCUUAUUCACACCGAUGUGUGCGGUCUAAUAAAACCAAGCUCUGUCGGUAAAAAUAAUUAUUUCCUUCUCUUCAUUGAUGAUUUUUCAAGGAAAACUUGGGUAUAUUUCUUGAAGCAGAAAUCAGAGGCCUUUGGAGCAUUCAAGAAGUUUAAAGCCGCUAUAGAAAAAGAAAAUGGUUGCAAGAUCAAAGCCAUGAGAUUUGAUCGAGGAAGAGAAUCCACUUCAAAGGAAUUUCAAGAAUUAUGUGAAGCUAAUGGAAUUCGUCGACCUUUGAUAGUUCCAAGAUCCCCUCAACAAAAUGGUAUGGUGGAAAGAAAAAAUCGAACCAUCCUCAACAUGGCUCGAAGCAUGCUCAAAAGUAAAAUAUUGCCUAAGAAGUUGUGGGCAGAAGCUGUAGCAUGUGCUGUUUACCUAUCCAAUUGGUCACCAAUAAGAAUUGUGUGGGGAAAAACUCCGCAAGAAGCAUGGAGUGGAAGAAAGCUAGGUAUCUCUCAUCUAAGAGUUUUUGGAAGCAUAGCCCAUGUACAUGUACCAGACGAGAGGAAAACCAAACUCGACGACAAAAGUGAGAAGUUUAUCUUCAUCAGAUAUGAUUCAAAUUCAAAAGGCUAUAAGUUGUAUAAUCCGAACAAUGGGAAGACGGUGAUCAGUCGAGACGUGACGUUCAACGAAGAAAAAGAAUGGGAUUUUGGCUCGCAUGUAGGUGAUCUUCAAUUCUUUCCUCAAAUUGAAGAAGAUAAUGAACAAGGGAUAAUGGAGCAAGCAAGAGAGGUUCAACAAGAAUCCACUACUUCACCUGCUUCACCAAUAUUAACCAAUCAUGGCAAUUCACCAGCAUCAGCAUCGUCAAGUGGGAGUCUAAAUGAAAAAGAAGUACCAUGCACAAGAAGUAUACGAGAUCUCUAUGAGGUAGCUGAAAGACUUGAUAAUCUUACACUUUUCUAUUUCUUUGUUGAUUGUGAACCGGUCGACUUCCAAGAAGCAAUGCAAGAUGCUAAGUGGAGGAAAGUAAUGAAUGAAGAAAUCGAAGCAAUCCAAAAAAAUGAUAUAUGGGAACUCAUUAUUCUUUCGAAAUGACAUAAAGCCAUCGAAGUCAAGUGGGUGUACAAGACAAAGAAAAAUGUCAACGAAGAGGUAGAAAGAUACAAGGCGAGACUAGUGGCGAAAGGCUAUAGUCAAAGAGCUAGAAUCGACUAUGAUGAGGUAUUUACCCCUGUAGCUCGGUUGGAAACUAUACAAUUACUAAUUUCUUUGGUAGCUCAAAACAAAUGGAUAUGAAGUCCGCUUUCCUAAAUGGAGUCCUUGAAGAAGAAGUCUACAUUCAGUAAACCGUUAGGCUAAGAAAUCUGUUGAUGCACAAAACCGGAGGGGUCUUGGAACAACGUAAAUCCGACCGUGAAUCUGCAAGAAAUGUAAAUAUCAUAAGAUGUAUCGUGGUUCACCCCAAUGUUUGGGCUACGUCCACACUGAUUGUAUUUCUCUAACUGUAUGUAUGGAUUACAAGAGUGAGAGGGAGUCCCCCAGAGAAAGGGAGAGUUUGAGAGGGCUCUCUGUUUUGUGAGCAUGAGAGCUUGAGAAAGAUGAGCUUUGUGAGGGUGAGAGGGCUUCCCCUAAUUAUAAGGGUGAGGAGUUCCUUUUAUAGAAUAAAGACUCCUCACUUAUUACAUAUUUGCCCCUUCCUUUAUUACAUAAUUACAUUUGAGUCCCCCGAGUAUUUAUACGAGGUCUAAAUACGGAUGCCCUAAGUAUGGGACAAACAGUAGUCCCCCAAGGGUUCAGUCAAGAGAGUCUUUUGGCUGGAGACUUGAAAUUCAGUUUAUAUGUAGGCCGAAGUAACUAGAUGUCGUCUUGAACUGAUACUCGAUAUGAGGCGAUGCUCAAUCUGAAAUGAUGCUCAACUAGAAGUAGCACAUGUUGCGAGGUUGCUCUGCUUGUGGCUUAUGUUGCCUUGGUUGGCUCGGUUUGAGGCGUUGAAGGUGAGGGAGUCCCUUUUAUAGAAUAAGGAUUUGCUCCUCAAUACAUAAAUGAUGGGCUAGAGUUGUUGCUUGCGGCGAGGCGGUUACUCAGCUGGUGGCGAUGCUCUCUAAUGAUGGUGAAUGAGUCCCUUUUAUAGAAUAAGGGUUCGCUCUUCAAUACAUAAGUGAUGAGCUAGGAGUGAUGCUCGCGGCGAGGCGGUUGCUCAGCAGGCGGCGAUGCUCUCUAAUGAUGGUGAGGGAGUCCCUUUUAUAGAAUAAGGGCUCGCUCCUCAAUACAUAAGUGAUGGGUGCUCUUUAAUGAAAAUGAGGGAGUCCCUUUUAUAGAAUAAGGGCUCACUCCUCAAUACAUAAAUAAUGGGCUAAGUCCCCCAAGUAUUUUUCAUGAGGCCCAGUUGUGCAAGCCCAAUAUAUGGUACAUAGUGUAGUCCCCCAAGUCUUCAGUCAAUAGGAUCUGUUGGCUGGAGACUUCAAAUUGAAUCUAUGUAUGGGCCAAAGUGGCGGUUGUUCGGAGGUGGUAUUUGUAUACCCUGCACUGAAGCUUUUAGGGGUGGGUUCAAAAAACCGAAAACCGAAAAAAACUGAAAACCAAAUCGAACCGAGGCCGAAAAAAACCGAACAGAAAAAAAACCGAACCGAAACUGUCAAACCGUACCGAACCGAAUCUGGCCAGUUCGAUUUCGGUUUUUGAGGUUCGGAAACCGAACCGAACCGAACCGAUAUAUAUAUUUAAUUUUUUUUUUCAAUAUUAUAAAUGGUUUAGUCAUACAAUCAUAACAAAACAUAACUUGUUGCCAAGUUGGUUUCUGUGAAGCUUUUCAAACUGCAAGGCAUGGGUUCGAACCCUCAUGCCUCCAGGAUUUCAGAGAGUUUUUUCAAAUUUUUUUUGAGAAAUCAACAAAACCCUUUUAACCCUAGCCAGCCAUAGCAGCCACACCUUUUAUUUUUUUUCAUUCUCCUCUUCUCUCUCUUGUGUUAAACUCUUUAACCCUAGGCAGCCACAGCCGGCGCAACACCCUUUAACCCAGUACUCUCUCAGUCUUCAACUUCAAUCACUCUCUGUGAGAAAAUCUUCAAGACUAAGUGCGCUCAGUGCCAUACCGUCGAGAAAGGCGCCGGUCACAAGCAGGGUAAUUUCAUCUUCUCUCCCUUCACUGAACCUUGAUUUUCCUUUUAUUUUUUGGCUUUUGAUUUCGAUGAUUUAUUGAUUUUUUUUUGGAUCUGACAAUUAUAAUCCAUUUUUUGCAUUUGGUUUUUGGAUUUGUGUAUUUGGAUAUUUGUUUUGAUUGUUAUUUGGAUUACUGAUUCGAUCUCUGCUGCGUGCCUCUUUCGAGGUCGUUCCUGUCAUCUCACGUCGUCUCGCCCCCGGCUCCGUCUACUGCAGCCCCCAACUCUACGCCAAGCUCCGCCCCGAAAUGGAUGCCGAUAACUCCUCCGCCGAUGCGGUUCGUUUCAUCUCUUCCUUCCUGGUUUACAGUUUGACAUCUUAUUCAGAAUACAUGAAUUUGAAUUUCAUUAAAUCUGUUGUUUUGUUUAUUAUUCUACAUAAUUAUUUAAUGAGGAAAUUUAAAUCAUUGAUUACAUUGGAUAUAGGAUUGCUGGUCGUUCCAAAUUGCUUAGUGAUUAGUACUUAAUCCGCCACACUGCUUAUUAUUUAGCCCAGGGAUUUGCGUUCACAGCCUUCCUUUCCGAUUUUUUCCCUACUGUAGCAUUAAAAUUUGUUGUCUUUACGUUUUAGUUUGGCAUUAUAUGUUUCUUUCCAUCUUCCUAUAAGUUCUGAACUUGUAAUUUGUUGGUUGGUUCUAUUAUAUGUUUCAGUCUGUUUGAACACUGGAAAUAAUGUUUUUAUUGUCAUAAAGGUGCAAAAUUUGUGAUUGUUAAUUCAUAAGCUGAAGGAAAAUUAUGUUUGUUUGUGCUCAGGGGUCGUCAAAGGCAGAAAAUCGUGAUUGGAUAUCGCGAUUCAUGGUCUUCACCUCUGGUGUUUGUUGGAUUGCUGGUUCAUGGUCGCCGGAGCUUGCUUCGACGACAGCAAGGGAACUAAGCAGCUAGGUUUUCAGUUUUUUUCUUUCUUUUUCGGGCUCAACCCUUGGGUUGGGUUGUUGUGCUAGCCCAUUUUUUUGUUUGUGUUUAGUUGUGGGCUUUUGAUAUGUAUGUAAGUUUAAUGAAAGUUUACAUUUUAUAAAAAUAAAAAAAAAUAAAAAUAAACCGAACCGGGCCGAAACCGAACCGAAAAAAACCGAACCGAAAAACCGAACCAUUUCAAACCGAACCCAGCCCUAGAAGCUUUGUAGGAGAAGCUUUGCAAGUUGAAGCUUUGAAGCUAGAGCUCUGUAAAUGAAGGUUUUGAAGCUAGAGCUCUGUAAAUGAAGCUUUUGAAGCUAGAGCUUUGUAAAUGAAGCUUUUGAAGCUAUAGCUUUUGUAAAUGAAGCUCUCGAAGCUAGAGCUCUUUAAAUGAAGCUUUUGAAGCUAGAGCUCUAUAAAUGAAGCUUUCGAAGCUGAAGCUUUUGAAGCUAGAGCUCUGUAAAUGAAGCUUUCGAAGCUGAAGCUUUUGUAAAUGAAGCUUUCGAAGCUAGAGCUCUGUAAAUGAAGCUUUUAAAGCUGAUUGACAUGAGUGAUGCUCAUGAAUGUUUAUGUUGAUUACAUGAGUGAUGCUCAUGGAUGUUGACAUGAGUGAUGAUCAUGAAUAUUGACAUAAGUGAUGCUCAUGAAUGUUGACAUGAAUGAUGGUCAUGAAUGUUUAUGUAUGAUUUGACAUGAGUGAUGCUCAUAUAUACUUUUAGAGUAAUGGACGUACUUUUGAUCACCUAGUUAGUGAUAAUAAUAGCAGGGUGUCGAAUAAAUUUGGAGUACUAAACCUACUUUUGAUCACCUGGUUGGUGAUAAUAGAGGGCCUGACUCUUUUAGGCAUAUAGACCUUUGCCCUCCACACAACAUUCCAGCCCAUUAUUUUGGGCUUGCCUUUUUUUUAAUUUUUUUAAUUUUUAUUAUUAUUAGUCACAUGCCCACUAUCCCAGAAUAACCCCACGAAGGAAAAUAUAAUAUAUAUAUUAUUCAUCACCUAAUGACAUAUAUUUAACCCAAGUACAUGUGCAAUAUUUAUUCAUGGCCUAGAAUAUUGUGACUACCAUUAAACUAUGUCGCUUAUACAACAUGUGAUUGACCACACGACUGAAUAAAUUAUUUAUUUAUAGGAGGCACAUAGUACAAUAUUUUGCCUUGACAAACUUUGUCAAUUUGAUUUAUUCAUUAUAUGGUCAUACUUAUAUUUUCAUUUAUUGUCAGGAAUUAUUGAACAACUAGAUCCACUGAUCAACAUUGUUGCUGAUUUAUAGACUGAUGAGCCACGUGCUCAUAAUGAUCUAUUGUCUGACCGGACACCCACUUGCUUGGACAUUCGCUUGUUGGGACACCUAUGUGCCUGGACCUAACUCGAUGACCCUACACAUAGCCCCAACUCGAUGACCCUACGUAUGGCCCCCACUCAAAGACCCGACUUGCGGACCCGAUCCGCGGAUCCGACACAUAGACCCAAUAUGCGAACCCGACAAGCGGAUCCGAGUCAUGUCGAGAAUCAACUCAUACUGAGGGCAUGUCGACAUAAAGUAGAUACUUGUAAUGAGGAAUACCACGAGCCAAGCUGCCUCGCAGCGAGCAUAGCCUCUAGCCGAGCCGCCUCGCAACGAACAUCGCCUCCAACCGAGCAAACGCCUGACCGCGAGCAUAGCCUCUAGCUGAGCAGCUUCGUAACGAGCAUUGCCUCCAGCCGAGUAAUCUCGUAACGUAUGAUACCUCUAGCCGAGUAUUGCUUUAUGUUGAGCAUUGCCUUGGGUUGAGUACUGGUUCAAGACAUCUAGCCACUUCGGCCCGUACAUAGAUUGGAUUUGAAGUCUCCAGCCAAAAGACUCUCUUGACUGAAGACUUGGGCGACUACUGUUAGUACUACACAUAUUGGGCCUCAGACCUUGACACAUUGGACCUCAAUAUUUGGGCCUCAUUACCCAGCCCAUAAUUAUGUAAAAUGAGGAGCCCUUUAUUCUAUAAAAUGGGACUCAUCCUCCCUCACAAAUUGGUCUCGGUGAACCCAACAGAGGGCAAUACCCUCACAAACACAACAACACUCUCUUCCUUAUGGGGACUCCCCUUGAGCUUGUAAUCCAUACAUAUAGUUACAGAGAAAUACAAUCAACAUCAGUGUGGACAUAGCCCAAACAUUGGGGUGAACCACGAUACAUCUUGUGUUAUUUACAUUUCUUGCAGAUUCACGGUCGGAUUUACGUUGUUCCAAGACCUCUGGUUUUGUGCAUCAACAAAAUCAAAGGGCACGAAGACAAAGUUCUGAAGCUAAAGAAAGCCCUCUAUGGGUUAAAACAAGCACCACGAGCAUGAAAUAGUCGCAUUGACAAGUACUUCCAAGAGAACAACUUCACCAAGUGCCCUCAUGAACAUGCUCUCUACGUCAAAGUCAAAUAUAGAGAUAUUUUGAUUGUGUGCUUAUAUGUGGAUGAUAUAAUCUUCAUUGGAAGUAAUUUAAGCAUAUUUGAAGAGUUCAAGAGAGUGAUGACCAAAGAAUUCGAGAUGACCGACAUCAGGCUGAUGGCAUACUACCUAGGCAUUGAAAUCAAGUAGAACGAAGAAGGCAUUUUCAUCUCCCAAGAAAGCUACACAAAUGAGAUACUGAAAAAAGUUCAAAAUGGACGACUACAAGCCCAUCAGCACGCUAGUGGAGUGCGGAGUCAAACUAACCAAGCAUGACAAAGGAGAAAGCGUAGAUCCAACAUUUUUCAAAAGUCUAGUUGGAAGCUUGCGCUACUUGACUUGCACAAGACUAGAUAUUCUUUAUGUCGUCGGAUUAGUCAGUCACUACAUGGAGAAUCGUACAACUACACACAUGAAGACCGCCAAAAGAAUUCUUCGAUACCUUAAAGGUAUCAUUAACUUUGGCUUGUUAUAUUCAAGUUCUAGUAACUAUAAACUUGUAGGAUAUAGCGACAGUGAUUGGGUAGGAGAUUCCGACGAUAGAAAAAGCACUACUGAAUUUGUGUUCUUCAUGGGAGACAUUGCAUUCACAUGGAUGUCGAAGAAUCAACCGAUUGUCACUUUUUCUACCUACAAAGCUGAAUACGUAGCUGCUACCUCAUGUGUUUGUCAUGCAAUCUGGUUAAGAAACUUGCUGAAAGAAUUAAGCAUGCCACAAGAAGAGCCAACAGAGAUCUAUGUCGACAACAAGUUUGCAAUAGCUCUAGCAAAGAAUCCAGUAUUCCAUGAUAAGAGCAAACACAUAGAUACCUGCUACCAUUACAUAAGAGAGUGUAUUGCAAGAAAAGAUGUGCAAGUGGAAUACGUGAAGUCUCAAGAUCAAAUUGCGGACAUAUUCACUAAGCCACUCAAACAAGAAGACUUUAUCAGAAUGAGGAACUCAAUCGGUGUCACAAGACAAGAUUAAGGGGGGAUGUUGAAUUGUAAUCUUGCCUUGGCCCAAGACAAUUGAUCCGACCCAUAGGCAAAGAAAGAUCCAUGCACAUGCUAGAGAGUUAUAACAAAGUUCAAGUUGGUGGAAUGCAUGCAUAAAUAUCUAAGGCUUUUUGUAGAAAGUUCUAGAAUCUUGUAAAAAUGUGUGGUUGUUAAGCAUUAGCUAGAAAGUUCUAGCAAUGCCAAAGUUGGCAAACCUUGCCUAUAAAUAGGUGAGGUGCUAAGCUAUGUGAUGUAACAACUAAGAGAGCAAGUAGUGAGAAGUGAGAGUGUCAAGUGAGAAGUGAGAGGAAGCAACAAAGCUUCUAAGAGUGUUUGAGUGUUUCAUCUUGUACUAAGUUUGUGAGUGAAUAAAAAUCUUGUGUAAUACUUUGAGUAUACUUUCUUUCUCUUGCCUAUCAAUUCAGCUGUAUUACAUUCUUCUUUGUCAGAUAAACAUCUCAAAAGUAGUGAAGUCUUUUUAAGCCCCAACAUGGCCAUCACAGUUUAGGUACUUUUUUUUUUUAGGAAAAUUAAUGAAAAUGGCUUAAAAACUUUGAGUUUUAAUGAUAAGAACAAAAUAAAGGGUAAAGUGAAUAGUACCAGGAUUGACUUUUUAGUUUAAAAAUGUGAUUUUUCGUUAAAUUGAACAAUAUCGAGAGCUUUUCGUUAAAGUUCCAUUUUUUUUGUAAAUUUUCAAAAUUCUCUCUUAUUUUACCUGCUCUGAUAUUUUUAUUUUGGGUAAAAGAUUGUUUACUACCCUCAUGUUUUGUGGUUUUCAACAUUUAGUACAUCAAGUUUUUUUCGUCUCAGAUUCAUACCUAAAGUGUAAAUUUUGGGAUAGUCUCAUACAUACGUUAGUCAAACUGUUAAAUUUGUCGUUAAUUAUGACGUGGCGCCAUGAUUGGGCACCACGUGUCAUCCACGUUUUUUUUUUCUUCUUUCUUCUUCUUCCUUCUUCUUCCUUCUUCUGCAACUUUUUUUUCUUCCUCCUUCCUCCUUCUUCCUUCCCCUUCUUCUCCUUCUUCCUUCUUCCUUCCUUCUCCUUCUCCUUCUCCUUCUUCUUCUUCUUCCUCCUUCUUCCUCUUUCUUCUUCUUCUUCUUCUUCCUCUGACUGCAACUUUUUUUUCUUCUUCCUCCUUCUCCUUCUUCCUUCCUCCUUCUUCCUUCCCCUUCUUCUCCUUCUUCCUCCUUCUUCCUUCUUCUUCUUCCUCCGAAUCUGGGGAAGAUGAAGGUUUUUUUUUUCUUUCCUUUUCUUCCUCCUUCUUCUCCUUAUUCUCCUUCUUUCUUCCUCCUUCUUCCUUCCCCCUUCUUCUUCUUCUUCCUUCUUCUUCCUUCUUCUUCCUCCGAAUCUGGGGAAGAUGAAGGUUUUUUUUUCUUUUCUUUUUCUUCUUUCUUCUUCUUCCUCCUCCUUCCUCCUUCUUCGUCCUUCUUCUUCUUCUUCUUCCUCCGACUGCAACUUUUUUUUUUCUUCCUCCUUCUCCUUCUUCCUUCCACUUCUUCUCCUUCUUCCUUCUUCUUCCUUCUUCUUCUUCUUCCUCAAAUUUGGGGAAGAUGAAGGUUUUUUUUUUAUUUUUUAUUUUGAGGAAGAUGAAGAAGAAGGAAGAAGGAAGAAGGAGAAGAAGGGGAAGGAAGAAGGAGAAGAAGAAGAAGGAAGAAGGAGGAAGAAGAAGAAGGAAGAAAAAAAAAGUUGCAGUCGGAGGAAGAAGAAGAAGAAGAAGAAGAAGAAAAAAAAACAAAAAAAAAAACUUCCCCAGAUUCGGAGGAAGAAGAAGAAGAAGAAGGAGAAGGAGAAGGAGAAUGAAGAAGAAGGAAGAAGGAGAAGAAGGAGAAGGAAGAAGGAGGAAGAAGGAAGGAAGAAGGAGAAGGAGGAAGAAAAAAAAAUUGCAGAAGAAAGAAGAAAAGAAAAAAAAAAUCAUGGAUGGCACGUGGCGCCCAGUCAUGGCACCACGUCACAAUUAACGGCAAAUUUAACAGUUUGAUUAACGGAUGUAUGAGACUGUCCCAAAAUUUACAUUUUAGGUAUGAAUCUGAGACGAAAAAAACUUGAUGUACUAAAUGUUGAAAACUACAAAACAUGAGGGUAGUAAAUAGUCUUUUACCCUUUUAUUUUUGUUGACAUGGUAACAUAGUCGGGGAUUCGCAGAGUUGUUACCUUUUGAAUUCAUUGUAUAUACCUGAUGAAAUAAAAAAGAGAGAAUAGACUGUAAAUAUAUUAUUGUUUUAAAUAACUAUUCUUUCCCUUAUUGUAUUCAGAACAAAUAUUAAGCUAAGAAAAAUGAACCAAGCUGGCAACAUUGACUAAUAAAAUAGUCUCCAACUUCUUGAUGGAUGAAUAUGCAUGAAGGAGGAUUAACAUUGACCAUCCACCCCUUAGAGAAUUUAAUCAUACUACUAACUCAAGACUCAAUCUUUGAUGACUUGCAUUUGUUAUAAUUAGUGCAAUUCCGCUAAUUAAUAACUGUUAAUGUCAGUGAGAAAUACUCAGACUAUUCAAGGUUUUUCUUAUUCUUCAAAAUGGUGCUUUAAUUGUCUAUUUCUGUGAAAUGAAGAACAAUAUAGAGGAGAGGAAGACGAUCGAUGAACUAAUAACAAACAAUACAAGCUGAGGUUUGAGAAGAAAUUAAGGAUCUUACCAAGAACCACUCCAACUUGUGGAAUCAAGCCAAGCAGGUGGAAAGCACUAGCACCAAAGAUACCAGUCCCAAACAAUUCAAAGAAGAUUUCAGAUCCUCUUGAAAUGUAAUGAUCUGCGAGGGAGAGCAAGACCUCGUAGACGAUUAUCAGAAAAAGAAGCCCCCAAACUGAAGUUGCACAAGGCAAGAAGCCAUAAAUUGGUUCACAAGUCACAGAAUCUGCUUUAAGAUUCAGUGCUUCGACGAUCGAAGAUUGGCUUGUUUCGUCGUUUAUUCCAUCGGAUAUAAGACCGGAGUCUCUAACAAUCCGGCUGCUUCCUAAAUGGACUAGUUGGAGGACCAGAAAAAUGAUGAACAGAGCUGGUCUUGACAUAUCCAGAGACACACAGCUUUGUAAUGAAAAAUUAUUACAAAUGAGAAGGAAAAUUGGUGCUUGAUUAGGUUUAAAUGGAGAUCAAUACCAUGCAAGUUGUGACAUCAGACAAAAAUAGGUAAAAAAUCAAGCAAGUUGCUUGACAUUAGCAAAUCCCUCUUUUCCUUCGUCUAGAUUUUCAACAAUAAGAACGAAGGAUAAUGUCGCGGGUUUGCAGAAAAAGCUGCCUGCUACCUAAUUGGAUUUUUUAAAUAAUUUAACCAAACAUAUUCCUAUACACUUGCCCCACAAUGCCAUCAACCAUUGCAUAGUUUUGGAUAUAAGUAAUGAAGCUCCUUAAAUAUAAAUGCACACAUUAAUGAAUAAAUUGAAUAGUGUAUCGAAUUAUAUGUAUCUAAGUUAGGUCAGUUGGUCAUGACAGUGUAUUUCUUGCACUUAAAUAUUAAAUUUUCCUUAUAAUAAAUUAGAGUAGUUUAAAAUAUGUAUUGUCUUAUGAUAAAAUAACCACAAUGUAGAAACAAAUUAAUAACUCUUAAUGUAAAAAUAUUAAUGUAUUAAUAAAAUAAAUCCAUAUGAAGAUUCACUAGUGAGCUAUAGUAUUGGCAUGUCUCUUUCAGUAUCCUAAUUGUCUGCAGAAUCUACUAAGAUUUUCAAUGCCAACUUGUAAUUUAAAAAAAUGGUUAAAUAUCCAAACGUGGGCUGCAGUCUACAGAGUGAAUGGUAGACGUGGGUUGAUUUUAAAGAAAGUUGAAGUUCUAUAAAAAAACUAAAUAGUUAUAAGGGGAGUAGUCUAACUUUUUAUGAGCUCAUGCAAGGUCUCUCAUUUUAUCAAUGUGAGACUCAUUCUCGACACGUCCUGUGGCGAAUUUUCAAGCCUAACAUGUAGACAACACAACAGGAUGACGUAGAGCGUGUGUGACCGUUUGGCUUCACACAUGAGACAACCUGCUCUGUUACCAUAAAGAAAGUUGAAGUUUCACCAUAAAACCAAUUGACUAUAUGAAGAGUAGUCCAACAUCUUAUAAGCUCAAGCAAGGUUCCUCCUCCUAUUAACGUGAGACUCAUUCUCAAUAGAUUUUGGUGAAGCAGUAGCUUGCUUUCUAGUUUUUUUUUUCCUUCAUCAGUAUGAGGAUCUUUGUAUCCCAUGCAUUUAUGACAAGAGAUUUGGACUAACAUAAAGAUAACCAAUGACUACAACAGUCUCUCUUUUUUUCAUUAGCAAAGAGGUAUUUUAAAUUACUUUAACUUUAACGGUAUUUCAAAUUACUAUAAUUUAUAGAAAGGUAAUCUUUAAGUUUAUGUUUUUAUUUAGUCUGGAUUAUAUUUGCUGUAACAUUUAGAUGGCUACAAUGAAAGCGUAUUUUGCUGUAAUAAUAUUUGGUAGUCGCGAAACUGCUGGCUUAAGACCAUCCGAUAACAGUGGUAAGAACAUGAACCAGCAGCAGUGAUAUUGGGUACAAAAUGUAUGCUAGAAUGCAUGUCCAAAAUGGGAACUUUCUGCUGAAGCUGGCAGAAAAACCUACCGCUGUCGAAAUAAGUAAAACAACUAAAACUUCAGCAGCCACGUCCCAUGAUAAAUUUCGUAUGUAAACGAGCGCCAAAAAUAUGACCAACCCCACAAUGUUGUUCAUGAACGCCGCUGUGUAAAUCUGCAGAGAACAAUUCAAACGUUAGAUAAUAUUGAUCAUAUGGGGUUGCAGUGUUGUGUUUUGCUCACGGAAAGUAUUAGGGACUAAAAUUUGAUAUAUAAAUCGGGAGAAUAAGUGUUUGACAUCAUUAGACGCUCAAGCGUGUGAUAGUAGUUAAAACAAUAUAUUUGAGUUCAUGGAGAGAAACAGACCUCAGAAAGUGUUAAAGAGAUGGCAUCCUCCGUCUUCUCUUUGGCAGACGUUACUGACAUUAGCGCCAGUCUGUAGUUUGUAGCCAAGGGUAUCACAACAUACGAGGCCGCGAAAGAAGGGAUGCUUGCAGCAGUGGAAAAUUUUCGGAGACUUACCAUGAGGGGCAUUGAAAGAAAAACCGUUAUGGCAGUUCCUAGAAUAAUUAGAAAAGCAGCCUUCAGGAGAUUCAUCCACGAUGUAUCAGCACCCUUAGUCCCAUUUUUCUUAGAGAUCAGCAGCGUAAGCUGAUCUUCCAUAGAUUUCUCAUUCUGCAAGUGCAGUUUAAUGACCCGGAUGAAACUCUAGUUUUUAUAAUCAUUCAAAUUAGUCCUAUCAGGCAAAUGCGGGCGUUAUAGCAGAUGUGCUCCUCCCCUAUGCAGGUAAUUUCAAGUCGCUCUCUCCAGGGUUCACAUUAGUUUAAAGUAAAAUAUUGCUUGUGUAAAAAAAAUGUACUAGUAUAGUCUUACCGGGGCUGAAUUAUACCUUGGAAUUAUUUCUUCUGAAAAGCGAUGUAUGUUCAUGACCUUUAUCGUUGGCAGGGGGCUUGGCUGGAUUAAUCCAUUUUGAGAUUCCAUUCACAAACUCCGUCUCAGCUAUUUGAGCGUCGCCAGAGAGAUCAAAUUGCUUCAUCACUUCUGAUACAUAAUCAUCGUCAUCCAGACCUAUUUCUUCUAUUUGUAUUCCUAGGAUCAAUGCUCUAAGUUCAUCUGAUGAUAUGUAUUUGUUAUGAUUCUUGUCUAUUCUAUGGAACAGCCUGCAAAUAAAUUUAGAAAAUGACUAAAUGAUAAGAUCAUACCAUUUCAACGAUUUAGGUGAACUAAAAACAGAAACCGGGUACUUACCCUUUUAUAAUAGAUACAUUAGGGUUUCCGCCUACUGUCAUAAGACUCGGCAGUAUGUUUUUCGGUAUGUACUUACGUAGCAAAUAUUCAAGCCUUCUACUCUGAAUCCAUGGUUGAAAGAACUGCAUAAUUUUUUUCUGUCAAUUACGAAGUUCACGAAUACAACAUUUCUAACUUAUGUACUGUGUUCAUCAUUGCUAAAACAUUCAGUCUUUUUCGAAUUCUUAUUAAGUUAUUUCAUCUUUCAGACACAAUAAAUCGAACUUUUACUAUUAUCUAAGUAUUGCCGAGCAGAUUUUAUAUUCUUGAAGUUGUGUUACCUGGUAAAUGAAGUAAGUGGCAAGGAAUGCAGAUGCAAUCAGUAGAGCAAUUAAGAUCACAACUCGAACCGCUGUGGUUGAAGUCAAGAUUUUUGCCAGCUGAAGAAUGAGAUAUGGGAUCAACGAGAACAUCAUGAUUCUUGCAGUAUCUCGCGUUUCGACAUCAGUUCUUACACCAGAACCUGCACAACCAUGUUUACUUACACAUCAAGUUGUCAUAUUUUAGAGCUCUUUCUUUCUGUGAGUGUUGAUUAGUGUUUGUGAAGAUUAGAGAAGUAACCAGUUAAACUGAAGGGUUUCGUAUUUUCUGGAUUUGAUGAAGUUUGAGAAUCCGAGAGGUCAGAGCUACCGAAAGCAACAGCAAGUAAACCAGUUAAGGGUUUCUUAUUUUCUGGAUUUGAUAAAGUUUGAGAUUCCGAGAGGUCGGAGCUACCAAAAGCAACAACAGAACCCCAAAUUAGGGUAAGAAUCAUGAUUGAUGAUCCUGCAAGCAUGCUCAUGCUCAUUUCUGCCAUUUCCUCCACAGUUUCUGUAGUUGCUGUAACUCCAAUUACUGGGGAACAAAAUGUGAAUUUCUGUCAUGAAUUUACAAAAUACAAUACAUGUCAUGCAUAUUUCUACUUUGAUUUAAAAGUUACAACCAAAACUUCUAAACUUUCUCCAAAUAGUCAAGCAAUUACUAGGCAAGUCAAAAUCAUACUAUUAAUCCACUAAUACUCAUUCACACUCUUAACACACCUUGUCACAUGUAAGGUUACUUAAAUUUAACGCGUGAACAAUACAUAUUAAACACGUGAGUUGUUAUGAUCAACGAUUCAACACCUGCGUAUAGUUUGCUUUGAUGCCAUAAUAUAUUAUGGUUAUCACAAAUUAGGUACUUUUUUUUUGUAAUUUUUCAAAAUUCUGUCUUCUUUAUACCUGCUCUUCAUAUUUUUAUGGUCGGGAAACAAUUAUAAAAUGACAAACUAUGAAGCUGUACACCUAGAUUUAUAGCAUAAUAGAUUUUAUAGAGAGGAAGACGAUCGAUGAGGUUAUAACAAACAAUACAUGCUGAGGCUUGAGAAGAAAUUAAAGAGGUUACCAAGAACCAUUCCAACUUGUGGAAUCAAGCCAAGCAGGUGGAAAGCACUAGCACCAAAGACACCAGUCCCAAACAAUUCAAAGAAGAUUUCAGAUCCUCUUGAAACGUACUGAUCUGCGAGGGAGAGCAAGACCUCGUAGAUGAUUACUAGAAAAAGAAGCCCCCAAACUGAAGUUGCACAAGGCAAGAAGCCAAAAAUUGGUUCACAAGUCACAGAAUCUGAUUUAAGAUUCAGUCCUUCGAGGAUUGAAGAUUGGCUUAUUUCAUCGUUUAUUCCAUUGGAUACAAGACCGGAGUCUCUAACAAUCCGGCCGCUUCCUAAAUGGACCAGUUGGAGGACCAGAAAAAUGAUGAACAGAGCUGGUCUUGACAUAUCGAGAGACACUUAGCUUUGUAAUGAAAAUAUGUCAAUGAGAAGGAAACUUGGUGCUUGGUUAAUUAGGUUUAAAUGGAGAUCGAUACCAUGCAAGUUGUGACAUCAGAAAAAAUGGACAAAAAAAAUCAUACAAGUUGUCUGACAUAAGCAAAAUCCAUCUUUUCCUUCGUCUAAAUUUUGAACAAGUAAGAACAAAAGUUGGUAAUGUAUAUAAUGUGGCAGGUUUACAGAAACAGCUACCUACUUAUUUGGAUUUUUAAACAAUUUGACCACAUAUAUUCUUCUAUACUUGCUCCACAAUGACAUUAAUUAUUGCAUAACAUUUUGGAUAUAAGUAAUGAAACUCUCUAAAUAUAAAUGCACACAUUGACAAAUACCUUGACUAGUCGAUUGUAUUGUGCGUAUAAAAGUUAGAUCAGUUUGUCUCAAAUAUCGAGUUUUUCUUUCCGGUAAAUUAGAAUAGUUUAAAAUAUGUAUCGUCUUAUCACUCUUAUUAUUUAAAAUAACCACGUAGUAACAAAAUAUAUUAUAUUGAUGACAAGCAUAACAAGUAUUCGCCCGAGGAGAUUCAUAUGAAGAUCAGCAGAGAGCUUUAGUAUUCGUACGUAGGUCUCUUUCAUUAUCUUAUCUGUCUACGGAAUCUGAGUUAAUCAAUCAAAGUACUAAGAUUUUUCAAUGCUUACCUUUAAUUUUUUUUAAAAUGGUUUAAGAUUAAACAUGGGCUGCAGAGUGGUCUAGGUGGGUUGAAUUUUGGUGAAGCAAAAGCUUGUUUUCUAGGUUCCCGACAACUACAAUAGUCUUCUUUUUCUUGUCAUAUGCAUGGGAUACCAUGGGGAACAAAUAUAUUUAAGGCUUUAGUGACUUCUUAUCUCUCAAAACCUUUGUGACCUUCUGUUUUAAUUGAAUUGCCAAGUAACUAUUAUAAAAAGGCCGUACCCAGUGCACAAGGCUCCCGCUUUACGCAGGGUCUGGGAGAGGUGAAUGUCGGCUAGCCUUACCCCCAUUUAUGGAGAGGCUGCCAAGUAACUAUUAUACUCUUAAAUAUUUAGGUAAAUUACAUAAAAUUGCCUUAAUUAUUGGGUCAGUCACAGUUUCAUAUCUCAUCUUUAAAAAAUUUCAAUGCCAUACCUCAUCUACGAAUUUUUUACAAUUUCAUACAUUCCGUCAAUUUUCUUUUAAUUUUUCCGUAAAAUGCUGACGUGGAUUGAGGCGGGGCCAUUCCCUGGCCCAACUAGAUUAUAAAAUUAAUUAAAUAUUAAAAAAAUAAAAAAUAAAAUCAUUUAAAUAUUUUUAUUUUAUUUUAAAAAGGUGGAACCCAUCCCUUACAAACCCAUCACCCCACCCCUUAUUCCCAGUUCACCCCAACAUCGAACUCACCCAUCUCCGAUCACCCCAACCUCUCUUCCGCCACCUCUUCGACUCCUCAUCCCUCCGUUCACCUCCGUCCCUCCAUUCCACCAGAUCUAUACCACUCACAGGCUCGAACCCGACCCGAUCCCCCUUGUCUUUAUUCCGCAACCACCUCCCCGACCCGAUCCCACACUCUCUCGUCUCUCUCCUCUGUAAACCCUAAAAAGCAAACCCCCAAACUCUCCCUCUCUUCACUUUCUCUCUACAGAGAGCCAGCAGAAGCCAUGAAAGAACUAGACCGCCAAUCUCUCAACCGGUAAGCUCCGCACCCAGAGCGACGUCGACUUGAUCCUGGCUCGCCUUAACAGCACGUCGCCGAUGCCGAGAUUUUGAUCAAGAGCGGCGUCCUUCUGGACUUCGAUGUCUCGUUCGUCAGCAACUCCUCCUCCAUGAGGGAGACAGUCCAGGCCUAGUGCCGGAACCUAGUGACUUGACUCCAAAUAGGAAGCGCCGAAUCGAGGAACUCGACGAUGGAGGCGCUUGUAGGGCUUCUGCAGGAAGACGACAAACAUGUCACUCUUGGACAUUUUCCAGGGCAGCACACCCGUCUUGCAAGCUUCGGCGGCGGGUGUGCUGAGAAAUUUGGUUGGGUUUGCCGAGAAUUAAAAAAUUAUGGAUUUUUUUUUCAAAAUUUGUUUGUUUCUAGGGAGAGAUGAGAAGAGUAGGGGAAUGGGAUAAGUGGCCGAGGCGGGUGGGGGGAUGUUGGCGCGAGUGGGAUCUUGGUUUGGGGUGGUUCUGGUUUUGGUUAGGGGAAGACGAGAGCGAGGAAAAAUUUUGAUGGGGAUAAGGGGUGGGUGAUGGGUUUGUAGGGAUGGGUCCCAUCUUUUUUUAAUAAAAUAAAAUUAUUUAAAUGAUUUAAAUUUUUUAAUUUUUUAAAAUUUAAUUAAUUUUUUAAUCCAGUUGGGCCAGGGAGUGGGCCUCGCCUCAAUCCACGCCAGCAUUUAACAGAACAAUUGACAGAAAACUGACGGAAUGUAUGAAAUUGUAAAAAAUUCGUAGAUGAGGAAUGACAUUGAAAUUUUUUAAAUAUGAGGUAUGAAACUGUGACUGACCCAAUAGUUGAGGUAGUUUUAUAUAAUUUACCCGUAAAAUUUAGUAUACCAAUCCUUUGUAAUUUCCCUAUUUAAAGGGCUCUAUAUGUAUCCUUAAAGUAGUGAAAUUAGUGAAUUAAAGUUAAUCUAAGAAGAGAGUGAGUUUUCUACUCCUUAAAAUCAAGUGUGAGACUUGGUCAUGUCAAGUGAAUCCACGAUUAGCUAUGAGUGAAUAUGUUGUUCCUAGUUGAGUGAUUCCCAGGUUCUAUCUCCGUAGAAACGCAAGUGAUUUCGUCCCCUCUGGUUGAGCGAUUACCAGGUUACUACCCCUUGUCUUUUCGAGACUCUUGGUCUUUUCUGCAUCAAGUGGCAUCAGAACAGGUUCUCUGUUGUGGAGUUAAAAGGAAAAAAUAAAAAUUCGUGUUGUUGAUUAUACACUUUUUUAAAUUUUAGUUCUCUUUGUUCGAGUCACCCAAAAGGUUACAUAUCAUUGGAAAGGUCUGGGAGUCCACUUUCCAACAAAACAGACUGUCACAUCCUGGCCCGAGGUCCACCACAUCCUGGGCCCGCUCCACCACUGUAGCACGAUAUUGUCCGCUUUGGGCCUCGAGUACGCCCUCACGGUUUUGUUUCUGGGAACUCACACGAGAACUUCCCAGUGGGUCACCCAUCAUGGGAUUGCUCUCGUGCGCUACUCGCUUAACUUUCGAGUUCCGAUGAACUCCGAAACCAGUGAGCUCCCAAAAUGCCUCAUGCUAGAUAGGGAUGAGAAUAUACAUAUAAGAUCACUCCCCUGGGCAAUGUGGGAUCUUACAAUCCACCCCCCUUAAGGGGCCCGACGACCUCGUCGGCACACCACAGCCAGGGUUAGGCUCUGAUACCAAUUGUCACAUCCCGACCCGAGGUCCACCAUAUCCCGGGCCUGCUCCACCGCCGUUGCAUGAUAUUGUCCGCUUUGGGCCCCGACUACGCCCUCAUGGUUUUGUUUCUCGGAACUCACACGAGAACUUCCCAGUGGGUCACCCAUCAUGGGAGUGCUCUCGCGCGUUACUUGCUUAACUUCCGAGUUCCGAUGAACUCCGAAGCUAGUGAGCUCCUAAAAGGCCUCGUGCUAUGUAGGGAUGAGAAUAUACAUAUAAGGAUCACUCUCAAGGGCGAUGUGGGAUCUUACACAAACAGUGCCUUAGUCAAAUUUUUUGCAGCAAUUUGCUAGCAAAUAGUGAAAGGUGUACGUUUUGUGUAAAAUCUACAAGGCGCGGUUUCUUUUUCAACGAAGAGAUAUACCAGCAUCUUGUUCCAAUGAAUAAUAAUUAGGCAUAUGAAAGCCACUCUAGUAUGUUAUUUAUGGAGGAGGAUAUGUUUUAUUCACAAAGAAUUGAUUGGAAUCUACCUCCAUUAUAUGAUGGGUGUUCGGAGGAUGGUGUUUUGAUGAUUCCUAUCCAAACAGUUGCUAACGUUGAAGUGAAUGUUGAAGAACAUGCUUUGAUAGAUAUUUACAGCUUGCAAAGUUCAAAAUACGAAGGAUUUGGAUUGUUUCAAGAUGAGAAGAUUGAUAGUCCAAUGUUAAGUUCAUCACUAAGCUAUGGGCAUGUAAAAUUGUGGUCACGAGUCACGACCAAGUGAUGAAGGAGCUAUUCAAAAUUUGCUUUUUAAUGUUAAAGAUCAAGUUUUGGGGACGUUACAACUGAUGGCAUAUCGUUGAGAAGGUCGAAAACCUAAAUUCAAAUCAAGAUUAAAAAGAUACAAACUUGAGGACGAGUUUUUUUUGGAAGAGUAGAAUGAUGCAGUGCAUGGGGAACAAAUAUAUUUAAGGCUUUAGUGACUUCUCAUCUCUCAAAACCUUUGUGACCUUCUCUUUUAAUUGCAUUGCCUAGUAACUAUCCUACUCUUAAAUAUUUAGUAUACCAAUGCUUUGUAUUUUCCCUAUUUAAAGGGCUUCAUAUGUAUCUAAGAAGAGAGUGAGUUUUUUCCUCCUUAAAAUCAAAUGUGAGACUUGGUCGUGUCGAGUGAAUCCACGAUUAGCGACGUGAGUGAAUCCGUUGUCCCUGGUCAAGUGAUUCCUAGGUUCUAUCCCAGUAGAGAAGUGAGUGAUUUCGUCCCCCUUGGUUGAGCGAUUCCCAAAUUACUACCCCUUGUCUUUUUGAGACCCUUGGUCUUUUCUGCAUCACAUGCAUAAUCAAUGACUACAAUAGUCUUUUUAUUCUACUAACAAAGUUGUGUUUUAAAUUACUUUCACUUAUUCCCGAGAACUAGUCGAACCCGCAUAUGCAUGCACGAUAGAGUAAUCAUCACGAAUGAUUCAGUGGUUGGGGAUGAAUUCCAGUCCCUUAUUUCAUACAACCCGUUCUAGAAUCGAUUCUUGGCGCUAGUGAAUAACACGAUGAUAUGAUCAUGAAAAGAUUAAAAUGUCUUUAUGAGUCUUUCCGAUCUUUGAAAAAAAAAAAUUGUAGUGGUGAAGCCACCAACUGUUCCCUUUUUCAAAACAGGAAAAGCAUAUGCAGGAAUAAUAGUCUUACCGUCAACCUAAUGCUACAACAAGAACCAAGUGACCGCCCAACCCGUGUACGUCUACAUAAUCAAAGGGUUGAAGAAUCAUUAUAUAGAAAAUUUGGGGUCUAAAUCAUUGAAUUCAAAAUUUGUACCGUUGAUUUUACAUAGGAAAAUUAUAGAUGUCAGCAUGUGUGAUGCGACUCCAUGAUCACGUCGAAUCCUUAUGAAAAUGAAUCCAGAACAAAAUCGCGCUAAAGCUAGGGCGUCACCCGUAAGUGGCGCGCUGUGUGGCCUGAGCACAGUGAUAAGUGAGCAAGGGUCGCUGUAUCUCCAUCGGCACCCGGAUGCAGUGUUAAAUGAGCAAGGGGGCCAUAGAAACUUCUUUUCGAACGACUCCACUCAAAGUUGUUUGGGAGCAUAUGCUCCUAUCAACUUUACCCGGGACACACAAAAGAAGUACUUUGAUCCUAUUAGACGGGGGAGAGUGAAGAAGCUAGCUAGACAGAGAAGGGUAGAGUUCAAGAGAGCAAAAUGCGUUUAGGAACGUGGAAUAUAGGAACCUUAACGGGAAAAUCUAUGGAAGUAGUGGAAGUUAUGGUGAGGAGAAGGAUAAAUAUUAUGUGCCUACAAGAAACUAAGUGGGUUGGUAGUAAGGCAAAGGAUUUAGAAAACUCAGGGUUUAAACUUUGGUAUUCGGGCACAAAUAGAACGAGAAACGGUGUUGGCAUCAUCGUGGACAAGACCUUGGUACAAGAUGUUGUAGAUGUCAAGAGGGUAGGAGAUAGAAUCAUGGCAAUCAAGAUUGUAAUAGGACAAGAACUUAUCAAUGUGAUUAGUGCGUACGCACCUCAAGUAGGGUUGGAUACGAGUUCGAAGGAGAAAUUUUGGGAAGAUCUUGGAGACUUGGUGCAAGGAAUUGCUCAGACGGAGAAGUUAUUUAUAGGAGGAGAUUUAAAUGGACACGUGGGCAGGGAGACAGGCAACUAUGGAGGUUUUCAUGGUGGCCAUGGUUUUUGGGGAGAGAAACGAGGAUGGGGAAGCUAUCUUGGAUUUUGCAAUGGCAUAUGAUCUCUUCUUAGCCAACACCUUCUUUAAGAAGAGAGAAGAACAUGUGAUCACCUACAAGAGUGGGUCGUCAAAAACACAAAAUAGAUUUUCUUCUAAUGAGGAAAGGGGAUCGUAUAACUUGUAAGGAUUGCAAAGUUAUACCAGGAGAGAGCGUGGCUAAUCAACAUCGCUUUGGUGAUGGAUGUACAUAUCAAAAGAGUAAGACAAAAGAACAAGACUUGGAAGUGCCCAAGGACUAGAUGGUGGAAUCUAAAAGAAGAAAAAACAAGUCAUUUUCAAAGAGAAGGUAAUCACCCAAUGUGUGUGGGAUAAAGAGGGGGAAGCUAGCCAAAUGUGGGAUUCCAUGGCUAGUUGUAUCCGAAAAGUAGCAAAAGAGGUAUUAGGAGAGUCCAAGGGCUUUGCCCCACACCAAAAGGAAUCUUGGUGGUGGAAUGAGGAGGUACAAACAAAGGUGAAGGCUAAGAAGGAAUGUUGUAAAGCCUUAUACAAGGAGAGGACCGAUGAAAAUGGUGAAAGGUAUAGAAAAGCGAAGCAAGAGGCGAAAAAAGCUGUCAGAGAGAAGCUAAGUUAGCGGCUUACGACGAUAUGUAUAAACGACUAGAUACCAAAGAAGGAGAGUUAGAUAUCUAUAAACUAUCUAGAGCAAGGGAAAAGAAGACAAGGGACCUAAACCAAGUGAGGUGCAUCAAGGAUGAGGAUGGAAAGGUUCUUGCUACAGAGAACGCGGUUAAAGACAGAUGGAGAGGUUAUUUUCAUAAUCUUUUCAAUGAAGGACAUGAAAUGAGUGAUUCUUUAGGGGAGUUGAGUAACUCAGAAGAGUGUAGAAACUACUCUUUUUAUCGUCGAAUCCGGAAGGAAGAAGUGGUUGUAGCUUUGAAGAAGAUGAAGCAUAAAAAAGCAAUAGGCCCAGACAAUAUACCAAUCGAAGUGUGGAAACUUUUGGGAGAGACAGGUAUAACAUGGCUCACUGACCUUUUCAAUAGGAUUUUUGAAAACGAAGAAGAUGCCAAAUGAGUGGCGAACGAGCACUUUGGUGCCUAUCUACAAGAAUAAGGGCGACGUACAAAAUUGCAUGAACUAUAGGGGUAUUAAGCUAAUGAGUCAUACAAUGAAGCUCUGGGAGAGAGAGUCAUUGAGCAUAGAUUGAGGCAAGAGACACGGGUUUCGGACAACCAAUUCGGGUUCAUGCCAGGGCGCUCAACCAUGGAGGCAAUCUAUCUCUUACGAAGAUUGAUGGAAAGAUAUAGAGAUGGGAAAAAGGAUUUACACAUGGUCUUUAUAGAUUUGGAAAAAGCGUAUGAUAGGGUCCCAAGAGACAUUCUUUGGAGGAUUUUAGAGAAGAAAGGAGUACGAGUAGCAUAUAUCCAAGCUAUAAAGGAUAUGUAUGAAGGAGCAAAGACUGCCGUAAGAACUCAUGAAGGACAAACCGAAAGCUUUCCCAUAACUGUAGGAUUACAUCAAGGCUCAUCCUUAAGUCCUUACCUUUUUGCGUUGGUAAUGGAUGAGUUAACAGGACAUAUUCAAGAUGAUAUUCCUUGGUGUAUGCUUUUCGCAGACGAUAUAGUGUUGAUAGAUGAAACUCAGGAAGGGGUCAAUGCAAAGCUUAACCUUUGGAGAGAAGUGUUGGAAUCUAAAGGUCUUCGCCUAAGCCGAUCAAAGACAGAAUAUAUGGAGUGCAAGUUCAGUGCAAAUGGAGGCCAAAACGAGUUAGGGGUGAGGAUCGGAGAUCAAGAAAUACCAAAGAGCGACCGUUUUCGUUACCUAGGAUCUAUCUUGCAAAAGAACGGAGAAUUAGAUGGAGAUCUCAACCAUAGAAUACAAGCUGGAUGGAUGAAGUGGAAGAGUGCAUCUGGCGUGUUGUGUGACCGCCGUAUGCCAUUGAAGCUCAAGGGAAAAUUUUAUAGGACGGCAAUAAGGCCGGCGAUGCUGUAUGGCACAGAAUGUUGGGCGGUGAAACAUCAACACGUACACAAAAUGGGUGUAGCGGAGAUGAGGAUGCUUCGUUGGAUGUGUGGGCACACGAGAAAGGAUAAGAUUAGGAAUGAGGAUAUCCGGGGUAAAGUAGGAGUAGCCGAAAUUGAAGGAAAGAUGAGAGAAAAUCGGUUACGGUGGUUUGGACAUGUGCAAAGAAGGCCUACUGACGCUCCGAUUAGAAGAUGCGACUAUGGGACAGAGGUUCAGGGCCGAAGGGGUAGAGGAAGACCUAGGAAAACUUUGGAAGAGACUCUAAGAAAAGACUUAGAGUACUUGGAUCUAACAAAGGACAUGACACAGGAUCGAGCACAAUGGCGUUCUAAGAUUCAUAUAGCCGAUCCCACUCAGUGACUUGGAUUUUCCAAGUCUCCAACCGAGAAGUUUUCCUCACUCGGGAAAUUAAGGGAACACUACCCCAACCUACAUGCUCCACUCAGAAAGCUUCAACAUACAAGCUUCAACAAAAGAAAAUUCAAAGAACUUCGCGAAGAAGGCUUUGGUGUAUUUAACACAAUACGUUGAAAUGAAGGAAAGCUUAUUUAUUGAUAUCCCCGAUCAGCUACAAAUAUGUACAUAUACAUGAGUCAAAAUAAACACACAAGACGGAGCCUUCACAAAGGUUGCUUAGGAGACGUCUCAGCAGUCGGUAGAGCCCCAGAAAGAGAAGGCACCGGAGGGGGAUCAUCAUUUGGAGCCUCAGUACUGGACAGAACCCUAGAAGGAGGAGGCAUCAGAGGUUGAUCAUUCGGAGCUUCAUUACGCGGUACAGCCCCAGAAGACGAAGGCAAUAAAUGCCUUUGGAACAAACCCACAAAUCUCUGAUGAUCAAGUAAAACCUGACCAUCAGUUUCCUUCAUCUGGUCAAGCUUCCUCUUCAUGUUUGUAGCAUAGUCAUGUGCGAGCCGGUGCAACUGUUUAUUCUCAUGCUUGAGCCCUCUAAUCUCCUGUUUGAGACUCAUCACUUCAGCCGCCAAUGAUUCAACUUGGCGGGUUCGAGCAAAUAGGCGUUGGGCCAUAUUAGACACAGAACCUGCACACUGAACACUGAGAGCCAGCGAAUCCUUAACAGCUAACUCAUCAGACCGUUUGGAAAGUAGUCUGUUAUCUUUGGGAGUGAGAAGGUUCCUGGCCACCACCGCAGCGGUCAUAUCAUUCUUCAUCACGGAAUCCCCAACGGUAAGAGGACCAGUAGGGGAGACGAAGGAUGGGCGCCAUAUGUUGUCUGGAGAAGGCGGGGCUGCCUCUUCAACAAGGUUCAAGUCAAAACGACGGUCGGAGGGGCCAGACAUUUUCAAAGGUGUUGAAGAGAGAAGAGGUCGGACAAAUCAAGAUCUUAGAAGUGCAAGAAUGAAGCUUCUACUGGUGGAGAUUCAAGUGUGCUUUGGAACUUAAUGCCAGCCUCUAUAAAAAUCUGCACUCGACGGAGCUUCAGAAAUCGAAGAGGCGCCUGCUCAGAAAUCGAAGAGGCGUUUGCUUUCUCAAAAGCUGGGCUGCUUAGAGAUCACGAGGGUUGAUCUCAGAAAUCGAAGAGGCGUUUGCUUUCUCAAAAGUUGGGCUGCUCAAAGACCACGAAGGCCGAUCUCAGAAAUCGAAGAGGCGCUCGCUUUCUCAAAAGCUGGGCUCCCCAGAGACCACGAGGGCCGAUCUCAGAAAUCGAAGAGGCACCUACUUUUCCAGCCUUGUCAGCACCCGUCACACGCACACUCAGCUUUGCGGAAAUUAUGGGCAUUCUGUCGAAGACUUCUGGGGAAGUAGAAAACACAUGAAUCUUACUGUUCAAUCACCCACUUCCCACACGCAACAAUAGCUCAUGGGUACCACAGAUAACUUUGCCAAAGUUCUCUGCCAAAGUUGAGCACGUGAAGCUUGCAGCUCCCACUACAUUGCUCUGACCAAGAAAGGUAAAAGAAUAGCAAAGAAACAGCACUAACAACGUUUAGACACAUAAAUUUUGAAGGUCUAGCUACCAUAUUAUUACCCACAAGGGUAAAGGAACAGUACCACUGCUGGAUAAUUGGAAAGUCCCUGUGUGUCAACCUCUGUGCUUCGUGGCAAGGUAGACUAGCAAACAUGCCCAACCUUUACUCACUUUCGAGAAAACACUCCCAACAAGAUUGCUUGCUCCAAAAUCGAAGAGGCACCGUCCUCCGAAUCUCGAGAGCCAGACUCCCAACAUGACUACAUUCUCAAAAGCGAAGAGAGGGUAAAGGAACAGUACCAUUGCUGGAUAAUUGGAAAGUCCCUGUGUGUCAACCUUUGUGCUUCGUGGCAAGGUAGACUAGCAAACAUGCCCAACCUUUACUCACAUUCGAGACAACACUCCCAACAGGAUUACUUGCUCCAAAAUCGAAGAGGCACCGCCCUCCGAAUCUCGAGAGCCAGACUCCCAACAUGAUUACUUCCUCAAAAAUGGAAGAGACACUGCUCUCCGAAUCUCGAGAGCCAGACCCCCAGCAUGAUUGCUUUCUCAAAAAUCGAAGAGGCAUCGUUCCCCGAAUCUCGAGAGCCAGAUACCACAGACCACUUUUUCAAAGUGCUCUGACAGAGUUAAAACAUGUGAAACUGGCAGCUCCCACUACCGUGCUAUGACCAAGCAGGGUAAAGGAAUAGCAUUACUACUUGUUGUUAGGGAGACUCCUAUAUAUGUCGACCUCCAUCCCCAACGGACAGGCAGACCUGCAAAAAUGCUCAACCCUUCAUCAUAUCUGAGAGGGCACUCCCAACGAAGCCUUUCGAAAUAUUCAGCUUUCUAUCCCCCCGAUAAUACCUCUGCAAACAAGCUAUACUAGAGCAAGAAUAUCUCAUAUCAUCAGGGUUAAAAGCAAGAGUAUCCCAUAUCAUGCUUUUUCCCUGUCUUUUCCUUUGGCCUUGUUUUUACCUGCAAGACAAGGAGAAAGAGAGCAAUCAGUCAGCACUUGGAAUCAAGCUUCCAGCCAGGAACUGACUGCCUGGAACCCCUUACCUGAUUACUUACCUGGCAUUGCUUUCGAGUACUCAUCUUCAACAUCUUAUGUUUCCAGGGAAGAUUCCGCAUCUGCUUGAGGAACAGAUAGGGCAAGUGCGAAGGAUACAAGGAAGCAUGUGGAGACAAGCGUAACAGCACACGUGCCGAUACAUCCAUUACUCUGUCUAAAGCAAAAGUAUCCCAUAUCAGCAGGGUGGAACGUACUCUAGAUUUGAUGGACUUGUUUUGACCCUCAAAUUCUUCAGUCGGCCUUAUACUCUGGAGGAAACCAGAAAACCCUCCAGCUCAGUUCAAGAAUAAGCCUGUGGAAAGUUACUUCUUCAAAAGCAAAAGUAUCUCAUAUCAUCUCUUCUCAUUUUUCUUCUCUUUAUCCUUCAUGCUGCUGCAAGAUGGGGAGAAGGUGAACAAUCAGUCGGAGAGCUCUGAUUGCUUACCUUGUCUGUCACCUCUUUCAGCAGACCCCCUAGCUCGGCGACUUAGGGGACUCCUACUACAUGGUUUGUAUCGCGCUUGACCAAGCCUGAGACUACAAGUAAGCUUCAAGUGAAAUUGAUACAUUACCUUGUGCAUCUCCACCAGUUAAAGAUACCACCCCUGGAUGGAGGAAGAGUACUUCCAGAGAAGAUGCCACACUCCGAUAAGGCAAGUCAAGACGACAACACACUCCGAUACUUAGAAGUUUCGUGAUUACGAGAUCAUUCUCCCACAAUAUUUCCUAAUGUCAUUUGUACUAAAUCAUUCACUUGUACUCACUAAAGGAGAACUUGAACCUAUGUACUUGUGUAAACCCUUCACAAUUAAUGAGAACUCUUCUAUUCCGUGGACGUAGCCAAUCUGGGUGAACCACGUAUAUCUUGUGUUUGCUUUCCUAUCUCUAUCCAUUUAUAUACUUAUCCACACUAAUGACCGGAGCAAUCUAGCGAAGAUCACAAAAAGCGACCGUUUUCGCUACCUAGGAUCUAUCUUGCAAGAGCACGGAGAAUUAGACGGAGAUCUCAACCAUAGAAUACGAGCUGGAUGGAUGAAGUGUAAGAGUGCAUCCGGCGUGUUGUGUGACCGUCGUAGGCCACUGAAGCUCAAGGGAAAAUUUUAUAGGACGGCAAUAAGGCCAGCGAUGUUGUAUGGCACAGAAUGUUGGGCGGUGAAGCAUCAACACGUACACAAAAUGGGUGUAGCGGAGAUGAGGAUGCUUCGUGGGAUGUGUGGGCACACGAGAAAUGAUAAGAUUGGGAAUGAGGAUAUCCGAGGUAAAGUAGGAGUAGCCGAAAUUGUAGGAAAUAUGAGAGAAAAUCGGCUCCGAUGAUUUGGACAUGUGCAAAGAAGGCCGACUGACGCUCCGGUUCGAAGAUGUGACUACGGGACAGAGGUUCAGGGCUAAAGGGGUAGAGGAAGACCUAGGAAAACUUUGGAAGAGACUCUAAGAAAAGACUUAGAGUACUUGGAUCUAACGGAGGACAUGACACAAAACCGAGCGCAAUGGCGUUCUAGGAUUCAUAUAGCCGACCCCACUUAGUGGGAAAAGGCUUUGUUGUUGUUGUUGUUGUUCCCUGAGUUCAUGUGCAAUUCGAUUGCUUAUCAGGAACCCUCCAAUGGUGAAGCCGCGAUGAGAGGCAGUUCGACGGGGAAGGAAGGAAUGGGACGUCAUCAAGGAUGACUUCUUUGUUGGAUAAAUGAAGAAAACCCUCGUAUGUGCUUCUCUAUAAAAUAUUUAAAAUGAUUUUUUAAGUAAUUUUAUGAAAAAAAAUACCUCUCAUGUGCUGCUUUUAAAGUACUUACACAUCCCAAAAUCUCUUUCAAACAUACCCUUAGUUUUAUUUUUUUUGAACAUGCAAAUAUUCUUCACUAAUUUACGCUGAAAAUGAAGAGAGUUUGAACCUGAGACGUAGUGAUUUAAAAAAUAAGGCCUUAAACAUUAGCACAAUCCUGACCCUUGUUAUUUUUAGGGUAAAUCUCAGUUUACUAUCACUAAGUUUCGUGGUUUUCAAGAUUUGGUAUAUGAAGAAUCCCACGUGUCAAUAAGAAUCCCACAUAGAUAUUAAAAAUAUAAAAUAAAAUAAAAAUUAAACAUUACAAAAUUACAAAAAAAAAAAAAGAUGUCUUCUUCCUCCCUUCUCCUUCCGACACAGUUCCAACAAAUGGGUUCAGAGCUGAUUUUCCGAGGGCACAAGCCGACCAACAUGCGGCGACAUCCCGAUCUCCACCCCCCCCCCCACUCUGCUUACGUCCUCCACCCCCUGCUCUCCUUACGCCUCCAGCAACGUCCCGAUCUCGAACUACGUCCGGUAUGACUUUGAUUCGUCAGCGACGACCCAGUACAACGAAAGGGGCCAUUGGGGUUCUAAGGGUGGAUUGAGCGAAUUGCUGAGUGCAUGGGGUGCGGCGAGGGGUGGAGACUGGCUGGGCGGCGUCGACUGACAUUUUGGAUUUGCACAUAUGGGUGGAGGCCGAUAAGGGAGGGACGGUCGGGGGUUAUGGAAGAAGACACUUUUUUUUUUUUUGUAAUUUUUUUAAAUUUUUUAAUGUUUAAUUUUAAUUUUUAUUGACACGUGACGUCCAGUUAUUGUCCAUAUAAACAUCACGUCAUCAGUUAGAUUUAACAGCCAUACUAAUGGAUUUACGAGAUUGUUCCAAAAGUAACACUUUAGGUACGAGUUUGUGAUAAAAAAAACUUUAUGUACCAAAUGUUAAAAACAACAAAACUGGUAAACUGAGAUUUACACUUAUUUUUAAUAUUGACAUGUUUUGAAAAGAGCAUGAGAUUUUUUGUUUUUUUUUUUUUUUUGGAAGAAACGAUAUUAUUCACACUAAGAGAAAGAUGAUGAACUUAGCCUCACAAUAAGCUAGCAAUAAUGUGGUUCAAAUUUAUCUUUGGUGAGAAUUGAACAUAGGACCACUCAAUUACAAAUGAAGAAAAAUAGUAUUAGACCGUAUUACUAAACAACAAUUUUUUUUUUUAAAUAGAAAUAAAAAAAAAUGAAACUGACUGCGCGAGUGGUGAGAUAGUAUCGCUCCAAUUCAACCUAAAUCCAUUGUCAAUGGGCAAUUGGUCCAUUUGGUUGGAAGAAAGAAUUAAACAUGUAAAGAUACAAUAUGCAGACAAUUUAGAAUUGGGUUAUAUGCUAACCAUAAAUCCUUUGGUUUGGGGGGGUGGAAACCAGGAUCCUCUCCUGGGCAAUUCCCUAGGGAUCCCGCAAUCUUGUUCGUUCAUUUUAUAUUAUGCGGUCAGUUUUCGUUAGAUACUAUUCAUAUUUGAAUUUUAAAAUUUAAAUUUUAAAUGAUUUAUGACCACAUGAUAUACGAUGAACGGACAAGAUUACAGAAUCCCUAGGAUCCCUAUGGAAUUGCUCAGGAGAGGAUCCUGGUUCGUAAUUGUGAAGCAAAAAAUAAUUUGAAAAAUCCUGAAACUGACACAUGAACUUUACAGCCAAAAGACGAGAAUAUCCUUGUUAAAUGCUAUUUUGUAAUUUAUGUCAAAAAAGGUAGGACUAUUACAUAUUAAACAUUUUGUUUAUAAGAUAUCACAUAAAUGACUUUCAUUAUACAAACUAACAUUCUUGGAGGUGAAGAUGCUCCCGCAACAAACCCGACCGUGAAGUUACAUCCGGAUUCCGGCAGAUGGUGAAAUCUUUCAAGGUCUAUACACAUAGGAGCAGGGCAUGCAAUCUCCUCAUAACUGUUAUACAGAACUUGCUUUUUAUACUUCUUCGCUACUGCUUUGGCUAACGGACUUCAAAAUGUUGUACUUGCAGAGUGGGCAGGUGGCAUUGAUCUGUAACCAUUUGUCUAUGCAGGUGCAGUGAAAGUGGUGACAGCAAGGAAGUUCACGUAGUUCAGUUCCAUCUUCGUAGGCACAAAGGCAGAUGCAACAUUC